UGGGGAAUUUUGGACAAUGGGCGAAAGCCUGAUCCAGCAAUGCCGCGUGUGUGAAGAAGGCCUUCGGGUUGUAAAGCACUUUUGUCCGGAAAGAAAUCCUUGGCUCUAAUACAGUCGGGGGUGACGGUACCGGAAGAAUAAGCACCGGCUAACUACGUGCCAGCAGCCGCGGUAAUACGUAGGGUGCAAGCGUUAAUCGGAAUUACUGGGCGUAAAGCGUGCGCAGGCGGUUUGCUAAGACCGAUGUGAAAUCCCCGGGCUCAACCUGGGAACUGCAUUGGUGACUGGCAGGCUAGAGUAUGGCAGAGGGGGGUAGAAUUCCACGUGUAGCAGUGAAAUGCGUAGAGAUGUGGAGGAAUACCGAUGGCGAAGGCAGCCCCCUGGGCCAAUACUGACGCUCAUGCACGAAAGCGUGGGGAGCAAACAGGAUUAGAUACCCUGGUAGUCCACGCCCUAAACGAUGUCAACUAGUUGUUGGGGAUUCAUUUCCUUAGUAACGUAGCUAACGCGUGAAGUUGACCGCCUGGGGAGUACGGUCGCAAGAUUAAAACUUAAAUGAAUUGACGGGGUCAUA
rnacentral:rRNA from 1 species